UACGUAGGGCGCAAGCGUUAUCCGGAAUUAUUGGGCGUAAAGAGCUCGUAGGCGGUUUGUCGCGUCUGCCGUGAAAGUCCAGGGCUCAACUCCGGAUCUGCGGUGGGUACGGGCAGACUAGAGUGAUGUAGGGGAGACUGGAAUUCCUGGUGUAGCGGUGAAAUGCGCAGAUAUCAGGAGGAACACCGAUGGCGAAGGCAGGUCUUUGGGCAUUAACUGACGCUGAGGAGCGAAAGCAUGGGGAGCGAACAGG
rnacentral:rRNA from 1 species